CGCAGCCGCGGUAAUUCCAACUCCAAUAGCGUAUAUUAAAGUUGUUGCAGUUAAAAAGCUCGUAGUUGAAUUUUGGGUCUGGCCGGGCGGUCCGCCCUCUGGGUGAGCACUGUUCCGACGUCGGGCCUAUCCUUCUGGUGAGUCGGCAUGUCCUUUAUUGGGUGUGUCGGGGAACCAGGACCAUUACCUUGAAAAAAUUAGAGUGUUCAAAGCAGGCGUAUGCUCGGAUACAUUAGCAUGGAAUAAUGAAAUAGGACGCGUGGUGCUAUUUUGUUGGUUUCUAGAACCCGCCCGUAAUGAUUAAUAGGGAUAGUUGGGGGCCAUUAGUAUUCAAUUGUCAGAGGUGAAAUUCUUGGAUUUAUUGAAGCUAACUUCUGCGAAAGCAUUUGCCAAGGAUGUUUUCCAUUAUCAAGAACGAAAGUUAGGGGAUCGAAGAC
rnacentral:rRNA from 1 species